rnacentral:lncRNA from 1 species
GCACUUCCGGCGUGCAGAGCUGCCUGCAGUCGACUGUUUGAAGCUUCGCAGUGUUCCCGGGCGAGAUGCAUCCUCAUCUUCAGUUCGGCGCCCAGUUGACCUUGGGGACGACUAUUAGGACCAGGUAGCUUGCUCUGGGCCCUAGCACGCAGAUAUCCAGUUGGACCAGUGAGAUUUGUUGAAGAUGCUUUCUUCUUUUCCCAUUGUAUAAUAAGCUUCUUUGUCAAAAAUCAAGCAUCCAUAGUCUGCAUUCGAUCGUAGAACUCUCCAAAACGCUGAUUGAAUUCUAAAUACUGGCUAAGAGUAAUGUUUCCUCUGUGAUACAGAAGCUCUGGAUUCCCAAAGCCUCAGGACCUAACUGAUAUCAGGCACUAUGCUCAUUCUACAAAGAGAUCAUGUUUGCAGAGUACUGACCACCAUCCAGGAAGAGAAGCUUUGUUUCUGAUGAGAACCUACUUCUGACCUACUGAAAGCUACAACUGCAAACAUAUGCACUGAGUGUCAUUAACACUGUUUCUUGAGGGGGAGUACGGUUCUGAGUGAAUCUGAAUGUGGGAAAUGAGGGAGAGAUGAUAUCUGAAAACCUCUGUAAGUUGCCUCAUGCUGCCUAAUAAAGAAUGAAUAAAGUAA